UUACGGCCAUAUCACGUUGAAACAACGGUUCCUGUACGAUCACUGAAUUUAAGCAACAUCGAGCCUAGUCUGUACUUACAAGGGUGACCACUUGGGAAUACCAGCCGCUGUAA